UAUGAACGCUGGCGGCGUGCCUAAUACAUGCAAGUCGAGCGAACAGACGAGGAGCUUGCUCCUCUGACGUUAGCGGCGGACGGGUGAGUAACACGUGGAUAACCUACCUAUAAGACUGGGAUAACUUCGGGAAACCGGAGCUAAUACCGGAUAAUAUAUUGAACCGCAUGGUUCAAUAGUGAAAGACGGUUUUGCUGUCACUUAUAGAUGGAUCCGCGCCGCAUUAGCUAGUUGGUAAGGUAACGGCUUAUCAAGGCGACGAUGCGUAGCCGACCUGAGAGGGUGAUCGGCCACACUGGAACUGAGACACGGUCCAGACUCCUACGGGAGGCAGCAGUAGGGAAUCUUCCGCAAUGGGCGAAAGCCUGACGGAGCAACGCCGCGUGAGUGAUGAAGGUCUUCGGAUCGUAAAACUCUGUUAUUAGGGAAGAACAAAUGUGUAAGUAACUAUGCACGUCUUGACGGUACCUAAUCAGAAAGCCACGGCUAACUACGUG
rnacentral:rRNA from 1 species